UACGUAGGUCCCGAGCGUUGUCCGGAUUUAUUGGGCGUAAAGCGAGCGCAGGUGGUUUAUUAAGUCUGGUGUAAAAGGCAGUGGCUCAACCAUUGUAUGCAUUGGAAACUGGUAGACUUGAGUGCGGGAGAGGAGAGUGGAAUUCCAUGUGUAGCGGUGAAAUGCGUAGAUAUAUGGAGGAACACCGGUGGCGAAAGCGGCUCUCUGGCCUGUAACUGACACUGAGGCUCGAAGGCGUGGGGAGCAAACAGG
rnacentral:rRNA from 1 species